GAUGAACGCUAGCGGCAGGCCUAAUACAUGCAAGUCGAACGGUGUAGCAAUACACAGUGGCGCACGGGUGCGUAACACGUAUGCAACCUACCUUACAUUGGGGGAUAGCCUUUCGAAAGGGAGAUUAAUACCGCAUAAGACAGUAACUAGGCAUCUAGUAGCUGUUAAAGAUUUAUCGAUGUAAGCUGGGCAUGCGUCCAAUCAGUUAGUUGGUGAGGUAACGGCUCACCAAGACGAUGAUUGGUAGGGGAACUGAGAGGUCAAUCCCCCACACUGGCACUGAGAUACGGGCCAGACUCCUACGGGAGGCAGCAGUAGGGAAUAUUGGGCAAUGGGCGCAAGCCUGACCCAGCCAUGCCGCGUGCAGGAAGACGGUCCUAUGGAUUGUAAACUGCUUUUAUACAGGAAGAAACCCUCCCACGUGUGGGAGAUUGACGGUACUGUAGGAAUAAGGAUCGGCUAACUCCGUGCCAGCAGCCGCCGUAAGAC
rnacentral:rRNA from 1 species